GUAGGAUGGAGAGAGAGAUGGACUACAAACGGGGACAGGUAGGAUGGAGAGAGAGAUGGACUACAAACUGGGACAGGUAGGAUGGAGAGAGAGAUGGACUACAAACUGGGACAGGUAGGAUGGAAGGAGAGAUGGACUACAAACUGGGACAGGUAGGAUGGAGAGAGAGAUGGGCAACAUGGACUACAAACUGGGACAGGUAGGAUGGAGAGAGAGAUGGACUACAAACUGGGACAGGUAGGAUGGAGAGAGAGAUGGACUACAAACGGGGACAGGUAGGAUGGAGAGAGAGAUGGACUACAAACUGGGACAGGUAGGAUGGAAGGAGAGAGAGAUGGGGAACAUGGACUACAAACUGGGACAGGUAGGAUGGAGGGAUGGAAGGAGAGAGAGAUGGACUACAAACUGCGACAGGUAGGAUGGAGGGAGAGAGAUGGGACACAUGGGCUACAAACUGGGACUGGAGGGAUGGAAGGAGAGAGAGAUGGACUACAAACUGGGACAGGUAGGAUGGAGGGAGAGA
ensembl:lncRNA